ACCCCUCAUUUACACUAAGGGAAUAUCCGUGAAAAUCAGAUUGUUUUGA
rnacentral:tRNA from 1 species